rnacentral:rRNA from 1 species
AUUGAACGCUGGCGGCAGGCCUAACACAUGCAAGUCGAGCGGAUGAAGGGAGCUUGCUCCUGGAUUCAGCGGCGGACGGGUGAGUAAUGCCUAGGAAUCUGCCUGGUAGUGGGGGAUAACGUCCGGAAACGGGCGCUAAUACCGCAUACGUCCUGAGGGAGAAAGUGGGGGAUCUUCGGACCUCACGCAAUCAGAUGAGCCUAGGUCGGAUUAGCUAGUUGGUGGGGUAAAGGCCUACCAAGGCGACGAUCCGUAACUGGUCUGAGAGGAUGAUCAGUCACACUGGAACUGAGACACGGUCCAGACUCCUACGGGAGGCAGCAGUGGGGAAUAUUGGACAAAGGGCGAAAGCCUGAUCCAGCCAUGCCGCGUGUGUGAAGAAGGUCUUCGGAUUGUAAAGCACUUUAAGUUGGGAGGAAGGGCAGUAAGUUAAUACCUUGCUGUUUUGACGUUACCAACAGAAUAAGCACCGGCUAACUUCGUG